ensembl:lncRNA
GUUUAUUAGUGUCACUGUAAACAGUGUUACUGUAAACAUGAAUGGAGAGGUUUAGGUACACUCCAAGGUUUAAUAGUGUCAAUGUAAACAGUGUCACUGUAAACAUGUUGCUGUAAACAGUGUUACUGUAAACAUGAAUGGAGAGGUUUAGGUACACUCCAAGGUUUAUUAGUGUCACUGUAAACAGUAAACAGUGUUACUGUCGGUAGAUCCUAGUGAAGGACUCACCGGCUUCAGUGCAGGGGGGGGGGCUGCAGGACCCGUCUUGGGAGGGGGAACCGGUUUGGACCAGAAAUCACUGCCAAACUGAAAGACAGAGGAGGGCAAUGGGGAGCCGUGAGGGGGAAGGUAAGGUAAGGUAAGGUAAGGUAAGGGUAAGGUCACGCACUGACCAGCUUGUGUCACAUCCAUGUUUAUUUAACAUGUAUUGUACCCUGUGAGGUUUAGGGUGUUCCUGCACCCUCCCUCUUCUGUUUUAUUUAACAUGUAUUGUACCCUGUGAGGUUUAGGGUGCUGCUGCCAACAGGUGUCAAACCAGUACCUCCCAACAGGAGGUACUGGUUUGACACCCUGACGCCAGCAGCCGGCCCAGAGCCAGCCGAGUCUGUCUCCCUCUCUACUGCUGAGCCGCAGCGUGGGUCGCUGGCUUCAGCGGAACAGAGGGGAACUCUGGGAACCUCCAUCUUUGAAACGCCCUAAUCCCCCUCCACCUCUGCCUCCUCCACCCUUAACCCCUCCAACCUCCUCACCUGUCGUCAGAAGGCCUGAACGGGUCGCUGCUAUGGCAACCGUGGAAACCUGUUUACAGGCGCGGCCCACGGUCCGCCUUAACCGGAGAAACGCAGGAGGAAGUAAAGCUGAACACCUCAGGAAAACAGGAAGGACAGAGGCAACAGCAACAACAACAAUAACAACAACAACAACAACGACGAUGACAGCGUUGGCGACGAGAGAGAUGGAGUAUCAGCCUCCCGGUCCUCCAGACGUCAGGAGGAGCAGGGAGGGUAAAGGACGACCUGAGGGCUGGGCUGCUACCCCGGGGAUCGAACCCGGGACCUUUGGGACGGACUCACCUUCAUCCGUAUGAUGGCGUUGACCCAGCUAACCUGGCUCUCCUUCUCCUCACAGCAGAAGUACCUGCAGACCGGAGACACAUUUUAAGGCAUUCUCAUUUUGUGGAACGUAUUUGAAAUGUUGUUCGUGAACCACGUUCAAAUAUAUUAAACCUCACUUAUAUAGAAUCUAGGUCAGUUCUG